GCCGAUAUAUGACAAAUACAAUUAUCAAUUGCCAAAACUUAAUAUGUGAAUAUACGUUACUAAUCAAUCUAAAUAUUUAUCAUCAUUCUAACAAUUUAAUGCAUCGCAUCAGUUUCGCGAUUCCAUCUUCGUUAAUUAAUUUUGUUCAAUGUUUAAUUGCUGCAAAGUUUAACAGGUAACAGCAAUAGCGUCACAGCCUCGUUUCAGCCACGUUUCGCGCGAUUUCGGUAAGUCUCCGAAUUUUGUUGUUAUUUGAUUAAUUUCUACAUUUGACG